AAAUUUAAAUAUAAUCGUUUCUACUGAUUCAUAAUAAUAUAUGUCAAUAUGGCUACUGGGUGUAAAAGAUAAAUGUUAUUCUAUCUGUUCUUAAUGAGUUUUAGAUAAUUUUAGUUGUAUUUCUUUGUAAUUUUGUGUUGUACAAAGAUUAAUUUAACAUUUUCUCUGGAAGUAUUAAUUUAGAAAGAUAAUAUGCUUCAAUGGUGUUGUGUUUUGAAGUGUGAAAUGCAAAGUACCUAAUUGUGAUAAAGUCAAGAUAAAGUUCACUUUUAAACUGAACUAAAUAAGGUAUCUGAGAGACAACAAUGGUUAAAUGCAAUACAAUGUACAGGUUUUACUAGCGAAAUGAAAAUUUUCCUGUCCUGUCUGCUGUAAUCAUUUUAUAUCUGGAAAACCAGCCGACUUAAUCGAUAAUAACAAUCUCCAGAUUGGGUUCCUUCAAUAAAUAUGGGCUAUAAACACAAUGAAAUAAGUUCCCCAAAAUCUAAACUGGAGUGGUAUCAAAGGAGAAUUAAAGGAAAAAAUAUUCAUAUUGAAAUUAUUUAUAAGGCACUGGACUGUCUUAAAUUCUACAAUAAUACUAGAAUCAGCUGAGAGAAGUGGUCUACAAAAAACCAGGAAGGAAACGGAAUAUGUGGCUACGAAAGGCAAAAGAAAAGUUUACAAAGCAAAUGUGACACAUUUUUUUGAAAUAUUUAGGAAUAUUAGUAAAUUGCAUUAAAAAAAUGUAUGAAAAGAUUUUGUUCAAUAAAAAUGUUUAUAUUUA